rnacentral:lncRNA from 1 species
GGAGUGAGCUUUUCAGUGAGGGUGUCUGCAGCUUCCUUGAGUCACCAGGUACCUGAAAGCAACCCCUGGUUAACAAAACAAAAACCAAUGAACAAAGCACUAGGUGUGGUAGCCCAUGCACUUAAUUCUAGUGUUCCUGAAGUAGAGCCAAGUAGAUCUUGCAGAGCUCUAGGCCAUCCUUGUCUCCAUAGAGAUUCCAAGCCAGGAAUGUAAGGAGUCCAGGUGUAAAACUCCAGGGAGCCAUAGAUUACCGGGGACCCCCUGAGUGAACCACAUGGAGCCAGGAUCAAUGCAAAAAGCAAGAGGAAUUUCUUGUUCCAGUGCACUGGGGUGAUGUUGGAGCCCUGGAGGAUUGUUAAAGCUCUAAGGGGAGAAGUUACCCAAUGCGUCUAUAGAAUAUCUGAGGGGAGAGGUAUCCUGGCUGUAGGAGCCAAGAAAUACCACUAAGUCACACCCCACCACAAACCUGACACAAAAUAUUUUAUUGGGAGAGACACAAGAGGGUGGCUGCCUCUGCUUGGGCAAAAGGCAGUAGGAAACCAAGAAGACGGGUUUAUAUAGAGUUGAGUUUGUGUACACACACAGAGCUUUCCUGGGUGGGUAUUGGUGGGAUUUCAUGUCCUUAGCUUUUGGGAUGCCCAGGGAUUGAGGUUUGUUGUUGUCUUUUUUUUUUUUUUUUUUUUUAAGCUCAAUGGUGACUUUUCAAAACCAGGAAGCAAGCUUGGAUUUUAUACCCCGUAGGAGAACACUGAAACUACCUGUAAUAGAAGAGUUAAUUUAUUGCUUCUUAAACUAUCAGGAGCUUGGGUUCUGAGAGAGGAUAAACCCUGAAGACCUCUGAGGAGGAAAUACUUCCACUGCUGUGUGUAUCUCUGAGAUAUCCCCAUUAGUCCACUUCUGGAUGAGCUGGAGGGCUUGGGAGGCUGGAGUCAGACCGGCGGCACUACUGUAACAAUGAUAAAGCCAGGACAGUCGGAGGCGGCUCUGCUUUUCCAGAACACAUGGCAGCUCACAACGUAACUCCAAUGUCCAGUUCCAGAGACUCCACCACCCUCUUCUGGUCUCUACAGACUCUGCACACACAUACUACACAUACUGUACAUGCAAGCAAGCAAAACACGCGUACACAUGAAAAUAAAAUGUAAAUAACAUAAAACUUUUUUUCUUUGGGUGGGAGGCAAAAUAGGGCCUCAUGUAGCCUAGGCGAGCCUGGGACUUGCUAUGUAGCUGAAGAUGACCUCAAGCUACUGAUUGUCCUGUCAAGGUCUGGGAUUUCAACUGUGUGGGACCACACCUGGAUUGUCUUUUUUUGUUUGUUUGUUUUUUUCCUUUAGUAUUUUGAAUUUUAAUACAGCAGCCAUUUACUUC